rnacentral:rRNA from 1 species
AAGCGCUUGUGACCAGACGUGGGCUUGGUCAAUCAUCCGGUGUUCUUCACCGGUGCACUUGGCCGGCCCAGGCCAGCAUCGGUUCGAGGCGGGGGAUAAAGGCGUCGGGAAUGUGGCUCCCCCGGGAGUGUUAUAGCCCGUCGUGUAAUACCCUGCCCCGGACCGAGGUUCGCGCAUCUGCAAGGAUGCUGGCGUAAUGGUCAUCAGCGA